AGAUGGCGACCGGCGCACGGGUGAGUAACACGUAUCCAACCUGCCGAUAACUCGGGGAUAGCCUUUCGAAAGAAAGAUUAACACCCGAUGGUAUAAUCAGACCGCAUGGUUUGAUUAUUAAAGAAUUUCGGUUAUCGAUGGGGAUGCGUUCCAUUAGGCAGUUGGUGAGGUAACGGCUCACCAAACCUUCGAUGGAUAGGGGUUCUGAGAGGAAGGUCCCCCACAUUGGAACUGAGACACGGUCCAA
rnacentral:rRNA from 1 species